UACAGAGGGGGCAAGCGUUGUUCGGAAUUACUGGGCAUAAAGGGCGCGUAGGCGGCCCGCUAAGUCGAACGUGAAAUCCCCGGGCUCAACCCGGGAACUGCGUCCGAUACUGGUGGGCUUGAAUCCGGGAGAGGGAUGCGGAAUUCCAGGUGUAGCGGUGAAAUGCGUAGAUAUCUGGAGGAACACCGGUGGCGAAGGCGGCAUCCUGGACCGGUAUUGACGCUGAGGCGCGAAAGCCAGGGGAGCAAACGGG
rnacentral:rRNA from 1 species